AAUCUUUUUUUAUGUGACCAGCACUUUUGGGAACCUCCAGAGCACAACGGAAAGGCUGGAAGUCGUUUUCAUUAUUAUUGUAUUGACUAGUGGCCUCCUUCUUGUCACCAUGCUAAUUGGAAACAUCAAGGUGUUUUUACAUGCUACAACAUCGAAGAAACAAGCGAUGAAAUUGAAAAUGACGAACAUCGAAUGGUGGAUGAGCAAAAGAUGGCUGCCACACGGGCUCAGGCAGCGUGUGCGCAGCUACGAGAGACAGUGAUGGGCUGCGAUGCGCGGAAUUGAUGAAUGUCAGUUGAUCAAAAUUCUUCUGAGGUUUGACACAGUUGUCAGCUCGCUGAGUUGUGCUUCCUUGAUCUGGGCCUGAAGCUGCAAAACGAUCAAUGAGUCUAGUCACCUGAACCACCACUUUUUUUAUGCUCACAUGCAUCAUUGG